UUACUAAAUAUCAAAUAACUCUUCUUUUUAAUUUAGUUACCAUCUUCUUAUUCACCUGAAACCUCCAUUGUUUGUGUUCUUUUGAAGUGUACGAAGCAGCUCACUUGUCAAUGACAGCCUUCAAGAAAUGGAGAACAGGAGGUCCUCACUUCCAGAGAGCUUCAAUACUCGGUAGAAAACGCAAGGAAUCUUAUUAACAUUGAGGGAGGUGGUGCUCAAUUCAAAUCACAGCAGCUACGUUAAAACUUAAAAGGCACAUACUCAAACAUCUUAAUUAGCACCAUCACAGGCGUCCAUUUUCAGUGUCAGCUUUUGUGUUUACGUUGUAUUGUUUGCCUUGGUCGUAGUCGCAGCAAUUAAUAGACAGACGAACAGGCCUGAAACGUAGUCAUGUGGCCCAUUCAUGUUCUUGAAUGGCUCUCUCAAAUGUUCAUAUUUUAGAUUCUUCUCUUCACGAUAAGAGAAUAUCCAUUCUCCCCCCAGUCUUGUUCUUCCAUUACAAAAGAACAUAAUAAAUUUAUUGCACUUUUUGAAUU